rnacentral:rRNA from 1 species
CCUACGGGUGGCAGCAGUCGAGAAUCAUUCACAAUGGGGGAAACCCUGAUGGUGCGACGCCGCGUGGGGGAAUGAAGGUCUUCGGAUUGUAAACCCCUGUCAUGUGGGAGCAAAUUAAAAAGAUAGUACCACAAGAGGAAGAGACGGCUAACUCUGUGCCAGCAGCCGCGGUAAUACAGAGGUCUCAAGCGUUGUUCGGAAUCACUGGGUGUAAAGCGUGCGUAGGCUGUUUCGUAAGUCGUGUGUGAAAGGCGCGGGCUCAACCCGCGGACGGCACAUGAUACUGCGAGACUAGAGUAAGGGAGGGGGAACCGGAAUUCUCGGUGUAGCAGUGAAAUGCGUAGAUAUCGAGAGGAACACUCGUGGCGAAGGCGGGUUCCUGGACAUUAACUGACGCUGAGGCACGAAGGCUAGGGGAGCGAAAGGGAUUAGAUACCCGUGUAGUC